rnacentral:rRNA from 1 species
CGGACGGGUGAGUAAUGUCUGGGAAACUGCCUGAUGGAGGGGGAUAACUACUGUAAACGGUAGCUAAUACCGCAUAACGUCGCAAGACCAAAGAGGGGGACCUUCGGGCCUCUUGCCAUCAGAUGUGCCCAGAUGGGAUUAGCUAGUAGGUGGGUAACGGCUCACCUAGGCGACGAUCCCUAGCUGGUCUGAGAGGAUGACCAGCCACACUGGAACUGAGACACGGUCCAG